UCCUCUAUUUACAUAUGACCACAAAAUUAAAAAAAAAAAUUUAAUUGAAUUAUUUUUUUUUUAAGCAUUUUUAACAAUCCUGCCUAUACUUCAAUACACAGUAAGAAGAAAAAUAUUAAAAUUUUGUAAUCAGGCAAAUCGGGAGGUAAUCGGUAAUCCCUGCUAUGUUGUGUUUGAAUAAGACUGUUGCACGUGUGUUAAAUAAUGGCAAGUUGUGGAAUUUUCAAAAUGUAAACCACUUUAUUUGGGAACUUUGUUAAGUUUACUUAAAGCAAUUGUUAAAUUUUUUAUUUAUUUCGAAACGCUUAUGUAAAGUAAAAUAUAUAUACAUAUGUACACACACACACAAGUACUUGUUAAAUUAAUUUAAUGUAACUUUUAAUUAUAGAACUUCUUAAAACGAACUAUUUGAAAUUAAGUGAAAGAGAACUUGCAAAGUAUACUGCAUAUAAUUAAUAAUUACAAUUUUACGAGCGGGUACACAACACAAUAAACUAAAAGUAUUAUUGAAAAGUAUUCAACCGAUGCAAUUAAGAGUGUUUCAAAAGUAAGAGUCACAAAAAGCAAAUUAAGUAAAUUUUAAAUGAAAAUCAUGCAAUUGUAAACAAUGAAAGUAAAACACAAAGUAAACAAGUAAAAAGAGUUAUAAACAAACAACAACAACCAAAUAAUAUUUGCACUUUUUAACAAAAUAAUACAAAAUGCAUAAUAAACAAAGUUAACGUUGCAGAGAACAAGAUGACGAAAAGCAAGUUUGCUGAGCGUUAACUCUGCAGCACAAGUGAAGCAGUGAAGUAAGCACAAAAACAAAAAAAAAACGAUACAAGUAAAGCAUUCAUACACACAUCUACACAUAUAAGAAUUAAAUGAAAUAAAAAAGCACAUGGAAAAACGUUAAUAAAAUAAAAAACGGUAAAAAAGAGAAUCAUAGUAAUAAUUUUAGGAAAGUUACUGUCAACCAAAUACUAAAACAAAACAAAAGGAAAUUAAAAAUAUAAAUGAAAAACAGUAAAUUGUAAACCAAUUAAAAAAUAUUCGAAACGCGGACACACAGGUAUGCAAUGAAAAGAUAAUCGUACAAGUAUAUUACUUACAUACAUGCAUUAAAUAUUUGAGAACCGUUACAUGGAAUCGUUAAGAACGUUAAGAGAAAUGGUAAUAAUUUGAUUACAAAUAACUCAGGUUGAAUUAUUUCAAAAUGUAAAAGCAGACAACUGUAAAUGUAUUGAAUUCUUUCCAAUAAACUAACUAAGAGAACCUAACACAAAGCCCCACCAGCAGCACGUAAACCCUUCUAUUAAGGCAACACAAAUGAAGAUCAUCACAGCAUCACGCGACAUUGGCACACAUUUAACGCUGCAGGCUGUCAUAGCGAAACCACUAGCACACAAUUACUUUAUUGGAUUGCAAAAUAUGCAUACUCAUUCACACAUAUGUAUGUACAUUUCGUAUCAAUAGUUAACCACAUUCAUGUCAUGAAUAGUUUGGAAAGAAAACUAACAACAAAAUUUGCCACAAAAAGCAUUUGCAUGCAUACAUACAUAUAUACAACUAUUUCAUCAGUGACUUUUCAUUUCACCCAAAAAAGCGUUCACCAAUCAACCGCAAACGUGAGUAGACACACAGCAUACCUACACACAAACAUGCAUACAUACUAAACCAACAGACAAAUAUAUUUACCGUAUUUCUGAGCUUAUUUUGUAGUUUUUGAGAGAACUAAAAAAACUUUUGUAAGUAUCUUUAAGAUUCUAUGGUUUCAAAGGGUUGAUGAUUGUAAUCGAAUAUUUCAGCAAAUUUAAAGAGAGAUAAUUAAACAAAAACGCGAACGCAGCUAUACUACUCAUGCUAUGAAAAUGUGGGGGGAAAUGUGAAAAAGUUUCCCCCAACAUAAUGAAUAGUAACUGUACUUCACACUACUAUGCAUUAAAUUAAUUGUUAAUUUCAAAAGUUAUACACACUUUCUAACUAAGAGACAUAAGAGAACAAACAUGUGCUGCUUGCAUGUUGGUUAAAUAUUAAAACAAAAACAAAUGAUAAACAAAUAAGUCAUAUAAAAUAGACGGUAUAAAAUUGACUAAGAAGUGGUUGAGACCAUUUGAAAACUGUUGCCAAACUAAACUUAAAUCGCUCAAUUUACGUUUUACUAAAAUGAAACUAGAUUAAAAUUAGAUUUAAAUAGACUACUAUAUAGACUAGGAAGAUGCCUGGUUAAGGAGCUAGUUGGAAGUCCAAGUCCCACAUCCUGCCACAACAUUAUUGUACAUUCCCUCAUCGAUAGCAAACACAGAGCAACUUCUCAUCUCUCAUAUGUAUGUUUAAUCGUUGUUUUCCUCCCUGUGACCACCCUCCUGCCUUAGUUCCGCACCACCUCGCCCAUUUUACUGCAAUGUUUUUUUAUAGUGAAAAUAUACAGCUGCUUAGAUGCUUACUUAAACGGGGCGUGGUAGUAAUUAUGAUUAGAUAUGAAUUACAUAAUACGAGUAAGGGGAAUUUUACUCAAUAACGGUACUUAAAUUAGCAAUUCCAAGUAGGUUUUCAUUACAAAAAACGCUAACAUACAAACAUACAUACUUAUAAAUUAUCACUAACGUACACACUACUAGCGACAUUGACAAAAUUAAUAUACAUUUAAUACAAUUAAAGAAAAUCACUGCUUUGAGAAUCAAAAUUACACAUACAUACAUACGCGUAGAAUAAAAUUUGACCAAAACGAGUAGCCGAGCAGCCGAAAAGCGAACGCACUUUACUCUACAGCGCCAGAGAGCCAAACACACACUUUUGUCCCUUUGAGUGAAAGUCAUGUUUAAUAAAAAUCGGGAUGCAUAAAUGAAUAUAUGUAUAUAUAUUUACAUGUACAAUAAACGAGUAACGGCGGCAAGAUCUUGAAGCAGCGCUUGCUUGCAUGUCAUUAUUAGAAUUUAUUUUCGAAACACUUUAGAAUAAAUAAAUUUAGCAUUGUUUCAAUGAAAUGUAUUGAAAUUUUAUGAAAUCAUAAGUUGUAAUGGGUACCUUAGCUGUACGGGGGUGUAAUUUAAUUCUGGCUAUUCGUAGCAAAUGGCUUAAACAUUAAUUUAAUUGUUGAAAGUUUUUUAUUAGAAUUGUCUAUACACAUAUUUUCUUUAAAUGCAACUCAUCAAAGAAACAAAAAGAAAAACGUCAAUCAUUGCAACAACACUAAAAAUCGAGUUUGAGAUAUGUACAUACAUACAUACAUGCACACAUGCAUAUGUAGCUCACACAUACAUACGUGUAUGUGGUCAACAGUAAUAUAAAGCCGUUAAAAGUAAUACUAAAAUAAUGAAAAAACAGUUGUUAUUUAAGCAGAAUUAAAGUUAAAGAAAAUAAAAUUAAUGAAAUAAAAAAAAAAAACAAUACAAAGAAUAUAUUAAAAACAAAAUAAAUGAAUUCAAACGAAAAAAUAAAAAGUAUAUGAAGCCUCUGAGAGACGUACAUUCAUAGAUUCAUACAUACACAAGUCGCACACACAUGCGCAUGCGCAGUUGCACAUGAUAUGAAUAGUAUGUGCAUGUGUGUGCGCAGACGCGUGGUUCGUUGGAUGCAGAUGUGUCGAAACUUUGAUGGUAGUGAUAAUGGUAUUAAGAGUCACGGGCGCCAUAAAGCCUAAAAGCUGAAGCUGAACAUUGAAACAGCAUAAAUAUAUAAACUUAUAUAUUAUAUAUAUUUAGAUUAAUACAAUGAAUCGCAUAAAGUUAGUAAAACCAAACCAAACCAAACAACAACAACAACAAAGUGAAACAAUACAGUUAAAAAAAGACAAAAA